rnacentral:tRNA from 1 species
UGUUGAGUGGUGUAACGGUUAAGCAUAUCAGUCUUUGACACUGAUGGUGUUGGUUCAAACCCAGCCUCAACAA